GGUGAUCAUGCCCAAGGUCGUGUCCGAACGAGAGCCUUACCGGAUCACCACACUGCACCCCCGGACCUACAACGAGGCCCGUACCAUCGGGGAACACUUCCGUGAGGGCACGCCGGUGAUCAUGAAUCUCACUGAGAUGGAUGACACAGACGCGAAGCGACUUGUCGACUUUGCGGCCGGUUUGGUGUUUGGUCUUCACGGCAGCAUCGAGCGGGUGACGCAGAAGGUGUUCCUGUUGUCGCCUGCUAACGU
rnacentral:misc_RNA from 1 species